rnacentral:rRNA from 1 species
GACGAACGCUGGCGGCGUGCUUAACACAUGCAAGUCGAACGGAAAGGCCCUGCUUUUGUGGGGUGCUCGAGUGGCGAACGGGUGAGUAACACGUGAGUAACCUGCCCUUGACUUUGGGAUAACUUCAGGAAACUGGGGCUAAUACCGGAUAGGAGCUCCUGCUGCAUGGUGGGGGUUGGAAAGUUUCGGCGGUUGGGGAUGGACUCGCGGCUUAUCAGCUUGUUGGUGGGGUAGUGGCUUACCAAGGCUUUGACGGGUAGCCGGCCUGAGAGGGUGACCGGCCACAUUGGGACUGAGAGACGGCCCAGAAGCGUACGGGAGGCAGCAGGCGGGAAUAUUGCACAAUGGGCGGAAGCCUGAGGCAGCAACGCCGCGUGCGGGAUGACGGCCUUCGGGUGGUAAACCGCUGUCGCCGGUGACGAAGCGUGAGUGACGGUAAUGGGUAAAGAAGCACCGGCUAACUACGUG